rnacentral:rRNA from 1 species
GAUGAACGCUGGCGGCGUGCUUAACACAUGCAAGUCGAACGGUGAAGGCGGAGUUUGCUCUGCUGGAACAGUGGCGCACGGGUGUGACACAUGUGAGCAAUCCGCUCCUGACUCUGGGAUACGCGCUGGACACGGCGUCUAAUACUGGAUACGAGCUGCGAAGGCAUCUUCAGCAGCUGGUAAGUCUUUCGGUGAGGGACGAGCUCGCGGCCUAUCAGCUUGUUGGUGAGGUAAUGGCCCACCAAGGCGUCGACGGGUAGCCGGCCUGAGAGGGUGACCGGCCACACUGGGACUGAGACACGGCCCAGACUCCUACGGGAGGCAGCAGUGGGGAAUAUUGCACAAUGGGCGAAAGCCUGAUGCAGCGACGCCGCGUGGGGGAUGACGGCCUUCGGGUUGUAAACCUCUUUUGGCAGGGAAGAAGCGAAAGUGACGGUACCUACAGAAGAAGCGCCGGCUAACUACGUG